GUUUUUCGUGAAUGUUGUCUUCGAUUAUCGGCUAUGUCCUGGUGUAUGAAGACAAUGUUUCGUCGGUUUCGUUAUUAGUGUGCGCUUGCUCAGAGUAUUGUCGACAACUCUCGAGUUUAAGCCGUUUUUCUGUUUGUGUUUUCGUUUUUUUUUUUGUGAAUGAAUGAGGUCAUCAACAAGCUUCCGGUCAAUUGAAUAGUUUAUUUCUCAAUGUAAAGUCUUUGUUUUUCCGUUAUCUAGUAAUUCUGGCCUACCCGUAUUUAUCAAAUCUUCAAGUAGCAUUCGUUUUAGAAAUAUUAUGUGUAGAUUUUCGCUGGAGACCGGAGACUCGCGUCGCUGAUGGUCAGUGGCAGACAGGUUCUGUGAUGGAUCCUUAUCUGUAAAUAGAGAUGGAGUUGACCUUGGUCGACGAUGAUCAUAUAUGACCCCGAAAAUCGAUAGUAGUGUUCACUGAGACGACUUGUAUGGCCUACGAAAAUUUGAUUGGCUAUUGUCAUCUCCAUUCUCAAUGCCAAUCAAAUUUUCGUAAUUUUAGUGGGGAAUGAUGUAGCAAGUACGCUUUUGCAUUCAUAAUGUUUCACUGUAAAAAUCUUAUUAUAUAUGUUUUUUUUAUUUUCAUCAUUAAAAUGCAUGUAAAUUCGUUUUCUAAAUUUAUUCAUGUAUCUAAUCACCGCUACACAAGAUCAAUCAUUUCUGCUUCUAAGAGUUGCAUCUGACAUACGGUCUAUUUCUGAGUUCCCAACUACCAGUUACACGCGCUAAACUUCUGAGACCCAAGCCAACCGCGCGUCAUGAUGCUAAACGAAAUUAUCCAUUUAGCGGGCAACAACCUGCGAAGGCUUCCUUUGAAGAUGCAUUGACCUUUGCAUUUCGGCUCUGAGCAAUCCGUCCAAACUACGGAGAGAAACUUGACUGGGGGGAAUUGAAUAGACUGACAGAAAGAGAUGUCGCGAGGUCACCUAAAUUACGUGUGCACAAUUGCGAGCAGUUAAUGAUCGGGAAUCUACCUUCGGGCAGAUUCGCGACCUUCAGAGAUGAUGACCCUGGAAACGCGACUAUCUGAGGCUUCCUUCAAUUUCAAUCAGCCACUUCGAUUCGAUCCGUGGAAGAGGCAAAAGUGGUCGGAAAUUUUGUGCCGCGUCGUGGUGUAAUUUGGAAGAUAGAAUUCGACAUAGCGAAAUUGUAGUCGAUUAAGUGGCGGCAAAGUGCGUGAAUUGAGUGCGUUUAAGGUUCGUGGCAGCCGGGCAUUUGCCGUUACACCACCAUCCCACUAGAGACCGCUUUUGACCCCAUCGAUCGGCAUCGAAGGUCCCGGGGCACACGUGGCCGAAAGAGGGC